CCUACGGGAGGCAGCAGUGAGGAAUAUUGGUCAAUGGACGAAAGCCUGAACCAGCCAAGUAGCGUGAAGGAUGACUGCCCUACGGGUUGUAAACUGCUUUUAUAUGGGAAUAAAAUGUCCCACGUGUGGGACUUUGUAUGUACCGUAUGAAUAAGGACCGGCUAACUCCGUGCCAGCAGCCGCGGUAAUACGGAGGAUCCGAGCGUUAUCCGGAUUUAUUGGGUUUAAAGGGAGCGUAGGUGGAUUGUUAAGUCAGUUGUGAAAGUUUGGGGCUCAACCGUGGCAUUGCAGUUGGAACUGGCAGUCUUGAGUACAGUAGAGGUAGGCGGAAUUCGUGGUGUAGCGGUGAAAUGCUUAGAUAUCACGAAGAACCCCGAUUGCGAAGGCAGCUCGCUGGACUGCAACUGACGCUGAGGCUCGAAAGUGUGGGUAUCGAACAGGAUUAGAUACCCGAGUAGUC
rnacentral:rRNA from 1 species